CUAAGUUAAUUAGAGUAUCCAAUAAAGAAACACUCAAGUAUAUAUAAUAACACUACACUAGCUACCGUCUACUUCACUUUCUCAUGCUCCAACAUCCAAUGGCCACUUUCUGGACCUCACUAUUCUACUGUCUCCUCCUCACCACCGUGGCAGCCGCCGCCACUGGAAGAGAAUACUCCGGUGAGGAGGCACGACAGCAGGACGCUGAUAGAGUGAAGAACUUGCCAGGGCAGCCGCCAGUGAAAUUCAGACACUAUGCUGGUUAUGUGAAGCUAAGGCCACAAGAAGAGAAGGCAUUGUUCUACUGGUUCUUUGAAGCUCAGGAAGCUCCUUCACAAAAGCCUCUUGUGCUUUGGCUUAAUGGAGCCCAAUGGGCCUGCAAAAAAACAGAGCAUUGCAGUUUGUAAAAUUGUGAUAGUAGGCAAUGGAAUAGAAGCAUAUGCGAAGCUUUGAGGCACGACAGAGUAGAAUGGGUGGGUCCGAGUUGGCUACGUUGAUGGAUUUGUGCUGUUGAAUUUGGAUCAAUAAUUCCAGUAAAAGCUGCCUAAUUUCAUCAAAUUAGCAUUACCAGGAAACGAGAUAAUGUAAUGUUGAUAGGUAGCCUACAAGGUGUUUGUAGAAAUGCUGCUGUGGCAUUGCCAGUAAUAGUUUAGCAUUACUUGUAUUGAUUAAGCCACUCUUUUUCUCUGCCAGAACAUUUGCAGUAUCUACAACUCAAUGUGCAUGAAAAGCAUGUUCGGUGGUUGUCAAUAGGAGCAUCUACAACCUUUUUAUAAACUUCAGCACUUUUCUAGAGGGUGUUGCUUUUUGGACUAGCAUUUUUUUUCUUUAUGCACCACUAUAGAGUU